rnacentral:rRNA from 1 species
AUUGAACGCUGGCGGCAGGCCUAACACAUGCAAGUCGAACGAGUGGCGGACGGGUGAGUAAUGUCUGGGAAACUGCCCGAUGGAGGGGGAUAACUACUGGAAACGGUAGCUAAUACCGCAUACCAUCGGAUGUGCCCAGAUGGGUUUAGCUAGUAGGUGGGGUAAUGGCUCACCUAGGCGACGAACCCUAGCUGGUCUGAGAGGAUGACCGGCAACACUGGAACUAAGAAACGGUCCAGACUCCGACGGGAGGCAGCAAUGGGGAAUAGUGCACAAUGGGCGCAAGCCUGAUGCAGCCAUGCCGCGUGUAUGAAGAAGGCCUUCGGGUUGUAAAGUACUUACAGCGGGAAAGCGUUACCCGCAGAAGAAGCGCCGGCUAACUCCGUGCCAGCAGCCGCGGUAAUUC